CGUACACUCCUACGGGAGGCAGCAGUGGGGAAUAUUGGACAAUGGGCGCAAGCAUGAUCCAGCCAUGCCGCGUGAGUGAUGAAGGCCCUAGGGUUGUAAAGCUCUUUCACCGGUGAAGAUAAUGACGGUAACCGGAGAAGAAGCCCCGGCUAACUUCGUGCCAGCAGCCGCGGUAAUACGAAGGGGGCUAGCGUUGUUCGGAUUUACUGGGCGUAAAGCGCACGUAGGCGGACUAUUAAGUCAGGGGUGAAAUCCCGGGGCUCAACCCCGGAACUGCCUUUGAUACUGGUAGUCUUGAGUUCGAGAGAGGUGAGUGGAAUUCCGAGUGUAGAGGUGAAAUUCGUAGAUAUUCGGAGGAACACCAGUGGCGAAGGCGGCUCACUGGCUCGAUACUGACGCUGAGGUGCGAAAGCGUGGGGAGCAAACAGGAUUAGAUACCCUUGUAGUCCCA
rnacentral:rRNA from 1 species